rnacentral:lncRNA from 1 species
UAUAUUCACUUGUAUAAUCUAGAUUUUCCCCAUUAUUAUCCAAUUGUAUUUUUAAAUUCUGUAUGGCACUGGUCCCUUGUCAUUAAUGAGCUAAUAGUUAGGGAUCAAAUUUUGGAAAAAUAUUAGUUGAACCUGCAUUUACUGUAUUAUUUGAUUUAUAUGCUUGAAGAUAUAUAUUUAGAUAGGUUCCAAUCAUAAACUCACAACAGAAAAUUUUACUAUACAACCAGUUGAGUGGCCUUGAGCAAGCAUAAAGCUGUAAUACAACUAUUGCAUAAUAGAUAUAGUUACAGAUGAUCUAUUUGAAUGUGUAUAAAGACCAAUGAUGUUCAGUGUGUUUGUUUGUUCAAUGAACCUGGUAGAUAAAAUCUAUGUAAAAUAACCAUGGAAAACUAUGUCGUUACUAGUUUUAAAAUGUCAAUUCAGAAAUUGUUGCAUCCAUUAAUUAAUCCAUUGCAAUAUUUGAUGAAAGGGAAGAGUAAAAGAUAACUUAUUGCCAUUUCAUGGAUAUCAUACAGAGAUAAGUAUGGGAUAUCUGAAUGUUAUUUGUUUGCGAUACUCUCUAAGUUGCAUAAUCCCAUUGAUAAACACCUAACAGUAAUUUCAUUAUUUACAGUAUACAAAAUUUGUAAAUAACCAGUUUUACCAUUCUGUUUCAUAAUAGCUUAAACAACACUGUGUUCACUGAAGGAAAACACAACCUUAAG